CUGAGGGAAAGUUGAAAAGUACUUUGAAGAGAGAGUAAACAGUACGUGAAACCGCAUAGAGGUAAACGGGUGGCGUCAAGCUGCACGCUUGGAGGAUUCAGUCGGUCAGGAUGUUGUGUGUGCGCCUGGCGCAUCUAUCAGUCAGAGUGAGUACAGGUGGUCCGCUGGGUGACGGCGGGCCCGGCCGCAAGGCUGGGAUUGGCGUUCCGUGUUGUGUGCGGAGCUUGCCACCUGUCUGAGGACUGCCUGGCCGAUGCACUUUCUCCGUGGCGAACACCACGACCGGUGGUACUGCCAGUCUGCUGUGGUAAAGUCAGGUUGAGUUGGCAUUCACGUGUCGACUGGGCCUGAUCAUAGGCGAGCGGUCUGCGGGUGCGUCUCGUGCGUGCCUGUAGACCGAUUUGUCAACGGGUCUGUUUGCUGAUGAUUGUAGUAGUCGGUAGAUGGCCUGGUGAACCAUGGUGCUAACAAUAACUGUGCAGACCACCGGUGAUAUCCGUCUCGAAUUUGGCUCGCGCACACACUACAUGUGGUUGUGUCCGCCGCGUUGUUGCGGACUGCCUGUGAUCGCUCUUACUUAUCGAGUCGCCCGGCGCACACGCGCCCCCUGACCGACUGAUCCCUCAUGGCGCUCAUCUCGACGCCUCCCGUGCACCUCUAUGUGGUUUCACGUACUGUUUACUCUCUCUUAAACGUACCUAUCAAAUUUCCCUCAAAACACUUGGACAG
rnacentral:rRNA from 1 species